rnacentral:snoRNA from 1 species
UUGGCAAAUGAUGAGAAGCAGGACAAGGACAUCUGCAGUGUUCCCUGAAUCAGGGACACAAUAGCAUGAUGACUCUGUCUAGGGGAAUCUCUGAUGCCAA